rnacentral:lncRNA from 1 species
CACUUAAUCCACUUCAGCUAUUUACCCACCUCAUUUGUCUUCUAGUAUAUUAUUGGAUCGCUGCCAUGGAGACAACUAACAGCCCUCAAGGCCUCUUCUUCCAAAAUAACUAGUAAGACAGAACUGGGGGUGGGGGGGGGGGGGGAGGGGGGUNNNNNNUGGACUGGAGAGAGGGAGUGAUAAGGAGGCAGAGCCACUGAAAUCUGAAGCAAAGCAGCAAAGGCAAGAGCCAAAGAAGAGUAUAGCUACACCAUGCCUUCUGAAGGAAUAUCCUCUCUAUCAAAUCAUGGGGCCAACGAAACAAAGCACCUGAAGCCCUGCUAUCAAGCAUUGCAAUGUUUCUUUUUAUACUGUGGCACUGAUAAGCCCAUCAGAAUGCUAGAAAUGUGACUGCAUUUUGGAUGCACAAUAUCAUAUCUCAGAAAAACAAAGCCCUUUGAGAAGUGCUCCACUUUCUUGCUUCUACAUCAGUCAGGAACUAAAGCUUUUUUCUGUGGAUGUGUCUUCAGGUUUCAUUCAAAAGGCCUAAGAAACAACCCCUUCUGCAAAAUACAGAGUUUGAUGUAUUUUUUUCUUCCAUGUAUCUUUCCUGGAAAACAGAUGACACAUCGGAUUCUAAGCAUCACUGACAUGAACAACAGCUGAAUGAGAAGAAUGCUGAUGAUGCAGAACAGCUUAACUAAAGACUGCCAGUGCAGUUAAGAAAUGCGCCCUUUGAAAUACCGGGUCUGAAAACUGCACACCCCCUGAAAUUGUUGAGGAACCUUUGCCAAAGAGUAUCUUACGUGCAACUCUUUGAAUACUGUAGAAUCUUCUUUAUAUGUCAUUAGAUUCCAUUCUCUGAUAACUAUUCAGCCAUGUGACAAUUACACUUUAAAAAUGCUCCCACUGAUUCUACUGGGAAGAUUUUUUUCAAACUUAAUGGUCAAAAAGGCAGAGAGCUGGGCAUCUUGUAGUCAUUCCCAAAUGUCAUCACCUUAAUCUAUUCAUUUCUAUGGUGCUUUCCUGCCCAUCCUAUCCACAACAUCAUUGCUCACAACAUAUAAUUCGCAGCGAGUAACUAUUAAAAACAGUACAAAGGAUAAUUAUAUCAGUUGAUAUAUAUGUAGUAAAAGAGCAAGCAAUAAAAUACUGAAUAAAGUUAAAAAACA